rnacentral:rRNA from 1 species
UGGGGAAUAUUGCGCAAUGGGCGAAAGCCUGACGCAGCAACGCCGCGUGAGUGAUGAAGGCCUUCGGGUUGUAAAGCUCUUUCGGUUGGGAAGAAGGGUGCGAGUGCUAAUACCACGCGCAUUUGAUGGUACCAAAAGAAGAAGCACCGGCUAACUUCGUGCCAGCAGCCGCGGUAAUACGAAGGGUGCGAGCGUUGUUCGGAAUUACUGGGCGUAAAGGGUUCGUAGGCGGGAACUUAAGUCAAGUGUGAAAUCCCCAGGCUCAACCUGGGACGUGCACCUGAAACUGGGUUUCUUGAGUAACGGAGAGGGCAAUGGAAUUGCUGGUGUAGGAGUGACAUCCGUAGAGAUCAGCAGGAACACCGGAGGCGAAGGCGAUUGCCUGGCCGUUUACUGACGC